AGAGUUUGAUCAUUGCUCAUGAUGAACGCUGACAGAAUGCUUAACACAUGCAAGUCUACUUGAACUUCGGUUUGGGUGGCGGACGGGUGAGUAACGCGUAAAGAACUUGCCUCACAGAUAGGGACAACAUUUGGAAACGAAUGCUAAUACCUGAUAUUAUGAUUUUAGGGCAUCCUAGAAUUAUGAAAGCUAUAUGCGCUGUGAGAGAGCUUUGCGUCCCAUUAGCUAGUUGGAGAGGUAACGGCUCACCAAGGCGAUGAUGGGUAGCCGGCCUGAGAGGGUGAACGGCCACAAGGGGACUGAGACACGGCCCUUACUCCUACGGGAGGCAGCAGUGGGGAAUAUUGGACAAUGGACCAAGAGUCUGAUCCAGCAAUUCUGUGUGCACGAUGAAGUUUUUCGGAAUGUAAAGUGCUUUCAGUUGGGAAGAAAAAAAUGACGGUACCAACAGAAGAAGUGACGGCUAAAUACGUGCCAGCAGCCGCGGUAAUACGUAUGUCACAAGCGUUAUCCGGAUUUAUUGGGCGUAAAGCGCGUCUAGGUGGUUAUGUAAGUCUGAUGUGAAAAUGCAGGGCUCAACUCUGUAUUGCGUUGGAAACUGUGUAACUAGAGUACUGGAGAGGUAAGCGGAACUACAAGUGUAGAGGUGAAAUUCGUAGAUAUUUGUAGGAAUGCCGAUGGGGAAGCCAGCUUACUGGACAGAUACUGACGCUAAAGCGCGAAAGCGUGGGUAGCAAACAGGAUUAGAUACCCUGGUAGUCCACGCCGUAAACGAUGAUUACUAGGUGUUGGGGGUCGAACCUCAGCGCCCAAGCAAACGCGAUAAGUAAUCCGCCUGGGGGAGUACGUACGCAAGUAUGAAACUCAAAGGAAUUGACGGGGACCCGCACAAGCGGUGGAGCAUGUGGUUUAAUUCGACG
rnacentral:rRNA from 1 species